AAGAUUUUGAAGACUAACUCAAAAAGAUGGCAAGAAGUUUGCAUUUGGAAGAAUAAUUAACUUGAUGACAACUUCUUUCUCAAAAAAAAAAAAAAAAAAAAACUUGAUGACAACUGAUGCCCAGGCACUUCUGGGACCUGCCAAAAUUAUAAUUUAAGGCUAACUCAUGAAGCUCAGAAGAUGUUUGUGUCUGGGAAAAAUAACUAACUUGAUUAUAACUGAUGCCAAGGUACUAGCAUGUCUAUUUUGUUCAGAUGGAGGAAAAUUUUUUUCAUGGAGCUUUAACCCACUUUCAAGCCAAUUGAAGAGCUGAAAUUCUGUCAUUUCCCUAAAUUAAUGGAAAAAUGUGCAAAGGGGAGCAGUGCCAAAUGGUCUAGGAUUUCCCACAGUCCAAAUAUCUAUUUUGAUGAAUGUAUUAAACACGAAGCAGUUUAAAGAUCAUGUACAUUAUUAAGAUGGAUGACUUAUUUUGGUUAUCCUUCAUUUCCAAAGUAGUCGCCAUGUACUUCAGGAAAGGGAAAGAGUGGUCCAGGAUUCACCCUAUUCCAAAUAUCCAGAAAAACUUUUGGUUCCUAUUCUAAGCUAGCUUAAAAUAAACUAAAAUUGGUGACAUUCUGAUAGUUUCUCUAGAUCAAGCAAAUGGUCUGAGGAUAGUUCUCAAUAUCUUAAGCAUAAGUUGCACUGCCUUCAUUGAAAAUUUUGCGAUACUAAAGUUGCUGUGUAUGGGAGAGAAGGAUUCUAGAAAAAAUUUCUACAAAACCAGAUACGUUCAAGCCAAAAUUGGAAGUUGUUUCAACUCCAAUUUUGAUGAAAUUUCCUAAUGAAGAGAGCUUCAUGUUGACUGGUGACUGGUGUUGUUACUUGAAAUUCGUCUUCAUUUGCUCAAAUGCUAAAGCCCACUUGGUGGGAUCUUUUCUUCUUUUUAUUGUCGGUAUCUUAGCGUGAUGAAUAUUUGUUGUAAUCCAAGAAUGACAUGUUUUUGUUGUCUUUGUAGCUGAUAGUGUUUGUUUUAGAGAAGAUUGUUGUAAACUCAUAUUCCAUAGUGGAAGAUUUUACUGGAUUAGGUCCCGUGGUUUUUUCC